UUCACCCACUCUCACCGCAUGGGCACCAUGAGAAGACACUGUCUUGUCACAUCUUAAUAAUGUUGACCUUACCAAACAACAAUUGGAUGGAGGACUUCCAAGCCUUCAGAAAGAAAACAGACUUCCAUCUAAGCGACCUUUCAUCUAUGGUACAAGUACCCAGUGAGGAUAUAAUGUGAGCUGCAGCCAUGCUUAAAGUGCUUGGGAUUUGCCAACUUCAACAUUUUUCUUGGUGCUAUAAAAGAUGUUGCCGCUGGCAGUUGUUCCCUCUAAGUCGGAAAGCAAAAAGAAAGAAAAAACAGUAUUGAAUGCAUACACUGGCACAGAGUAAACAUUACCAUUUGGGAAUGUGGUAACGGAAGAAUAAGAAGAAAAGAGGAAGAUGCCGAAGACCAAAACCCAACAAGGGGGGAAAUAUUCCUGCAGCUCCACGUCCAGGAUUUGAGAUGUCUGAUGAAGUUAUCUGGACCAAUAUUGGCUCAAGUAGUCCUACUUUUUCAGUUCUGUUACCUGCAACAUCUAUUGCCUCUCUUGGUCAGCCCCACUCCAUGCCAAGAGUAUUCAGUUACUGUCUCAAGCUUUUGGCCUCUCCAACAUCCUGGAGUCUUUAUGUAAACUUCACAGCAUCUCACAGCAGUCUUCAAGGACCUUUGACCCUGCCAGACACUACUUUCUGGCACUAUAGAGCAAAUCUCCGUGACUCCUCUAAAUCAUAUGUCUCUCAUCAUGCUUAUGAAACCAGUAGCAAUGUGGACAGUCAUACCAAGUUCUGUGGCCAACUUCGAAUAGUAUAAAACCUUGUACCUUAGACCAUAUCACCAGUGAUCUCUGUAUGCUCUGUGGACUGAAUCUACAAGAUCAAUUUUUUAGGAAGUUAUUUUUCAUCAGGGAAUCCUUUCAGCUACAUUCUUGGUUUAGACUUUUUCCUUUCAAAUAAAUUUGCAUUUUCAUUAGUUGGAGCCUUGAGUGGGCAUGCUCUGG
rnacentral:lncRNA from 1 species